AACGUAGGUGGCGAGCGUUAUCCGGAUUUACUGGGCGUAAAGCGUGCGCAGGCGGUGAUGUAAGACAGAUGUGAAAUCCCCGGGCUCAACCUGGGAACUGCAUUUGUGACUGCAUCGCUGGAGUGCGGCAGAGGGGGAUGGAAUUCCGCGUGUAGCAGUGAAAUGCGUAGAUAUGCGGAGGAACACCGAUGGCGAAGGCAAUCCCCUGGGCCUGCACUGACGCUCAUGCACGAAAGCGUGGGGAGCAAACAGG
rnacentral:rRNA from 1 species